GGUUCAGGAUGAACGCUGGCGGCGUGCCUAACACAUGCAAGUCGAACGGAGAAUUACGCUGAUGAAGCUUCGGCAGAUUCUGUAAAUCUUAGUGGCGGACGGGUGAGUAACGCGUGGGCAACCUGCCUCAUACUGGGGGAUAACAGAUAGAAAUGACUGCUAAUACCGCAUAAGCGCACAGUAUCGCAUGAUACGGUGUGAAAAGCCGAGACGGUAUAAGAUGGACCCGCGUCUGAUUAGCCAGUUGGCAGGGUAACGGCCUACCAAAGCAACGAUCAGUAGCCGGCCUGAGAGGGUGAACGGCCACAUUGGGACUGAGACACGGCCCAAACUCCUACGGGAGGCAGCAGUGGGGGAUAUUGCACAAUGGGGGAAACCCUGAUGCAGCCGACGCCGCGUGAGCGAUUGAAGUAUUUCGGUAUGUAAAGCUCUAUCAGCAGGGAAGAAAAUGACGGUACCUGACUAAGAAGCUCCGGCUAAAUACGUGCCAGCAGCGGC
rnacentral:rRNA from 1 species